rnacentral:rRNA from 1 species
GAUGAACGCUGACAGAAUGCUUAACACAUGCAAGUCGAUGGGGAAGUGGUGCUUGCACCCUGGUAACCAUGGCGGACGGGUGAGUAACGCGUAAGGAACUUACCUGCGGGACCGGGAUAACAGCAGGAAACUGCUGACAAGACCGGAUAAGGUCAUUAAGCUGCAUAGCUUAGUGAUGAAAGGAGACGCCUGCGGAGAGCCUUGCGUCCUAUUAGCUAGUUGGAGGGGUAACGGCCCACCAAGGCGAAGAUAGGUAGCCGGCCUGAGAGGGUGGACGGCCACAAGGGGACUGAGAUACGGCCCUUACUCCUACGGGAGGCAGCAGUGGGGAAUAUUGGACAAUGGGGGCAACCCUGAUCCAGCAAUUCUGUGUGCACGAAGAUGGUUUUCGGAUUGUAAAGUGCUUUCAGCAGGGAAGAAGGAAGUGACGGUACCUGCAGAAGAAGCGACGGCUAAAUACGUG